rnacentral:rRNA from 1 species
CGCAAGCCCGACGGAGCAAGACCGCGUGCGGGAUGACGGCCUAAUGGUUGUAAACCGCUUUUCUCUGGGAAGAAGAUGACGGUACCAGAGGAAUAAGCCUCGGCUAACUCCGUGCCAGCAGCCGCGGUAAUACGGAGGAGGCAAGCGUUAUCCGGAAUUAUUGGGCGUAAAGCGUCCGUAGGUGGUUCAUCAAGUCAGCUGUUAAAGAGCGGAGCUCACCUCCGUCGGAGCGGUUGAAACUGGUGAACUAGAGUUUGGUAGGGGUCGAGGGAAUUCCCAGUGUAGCGGUGAAAUGCGUAGAUAUUGGGAAGAACACCGGUGGCGAAAGCGCUCGGCUGGGCCAAAACUGACACUGAGGGACGAAAGCUAGGGGAGCG